CUCUGCACAAAGAAUAGGAGGGUAGUUGGAUGAGCCCAGCCCAUGUUACAAGGAAAAUAUUUUGGGACCGCUAGACUUGGACUCAGCCUCAGCUUUGUCUCUUGUCAGCUUUGUCACCUUGAGGAACUCGCCUUGAAAAAUAUCGCUUUCCUUGAGCGUUAUUUUCAGGCAUAGAUAUUAAUCCAUUUCAGGCAGAGGAGAUAAGGAAUACAAUUUGCAAAUUGUAAGAUGUUGAGAAAAUUGGAUGGAUGGAUGGGCUGAGAAUAUUAAUAUUUUUCUGUUGAGGAGAAAGAUAUUAAACAGAUGUAAAUUUAGUUAUAGAUAUAGCAAUAUCUUUAAAUAUAGCAAUCUGUAUCUAUCUAUCUAUCUACCAAUCUAUCCAGAUAUAUACAUAUGUAUAUAUAUUUCUCACUUAGGGCAGUGGAUAAUAGUUAUUGGAAAAAUCUAUAUUAAGCUGGAAAAUGAGUGAGCCACGUUUAUCCAUCAGUACAAGUUUUAAAACUAUAUUCCUUAUCUAACCUGACUAUGUCUUAGAAUACUCCAGAACUGGAGGUUAUCUCAAAGACGCUCCCCACACAGUGUUUAGGAGGGUCACUGAGGGAGGCUGCUUUCUGUGUAAAUCCUGUCUUGUUCCUGAUAAUACAGCCCGGCAGCAGUGGUUUGGGGCUGAAGCCCAGGCCGCUGACUUCUCACUCAGUACUCUCCUUUACUCAACCGCAUACCCUCUCAGGAGGCUUUCCAUUUCCUGAAAAACAUCACAGCCCUCCUCUAGCAGGCAAGUGAGGGUCAGAAUCCCAGUCUGCUGGUGGUAGUGGCGUAGGUCUGACGGGGGGGAGCAGUGCACAUUAAUUGUGUUGGCUGCUCAGGCCAGGCAACGUUACAGCUUCAAAUCAAUAAUUGUAUUUUUUUUUCUUUCAAAAAUAUAAUGUCAGUGUUUAAGGUCAUCACUUUAUACUAUUAAUAGUUAUUCCGUUUUAUUUUGUUUCAUUUUUAAAAUAAACUAGUUCUGUUACUUUACAAUAGAACAAAUAUGCUAAUGAGUGUUAAAAUAAGAACUAUGGGAGUUCCUGUUGUAGCUCAGUGGUUAACGAACCCGACUAGUACUCAUGAGGACUUGAGUUGGAUCCCCGGCCUCGCUCAGUGGGUUAAGGAUCUGGCGUUGCCAUGAGCUGUGGUGUAUGUCACAGACAUGGCUUGGAUCUGGCGUCACUGUGGCUGUGGCUACAGCUCCGAUUAGACCCAUAGCCUGGCAACCUCCAUAUGCCAUGGGUAUGGCCCUAAAAAGACAGUAAAUAAAUAAAUAAAGUAAAUAAGAACUAUGGAUUAUUCUAUUUGAUAGGGGGAAAAAAAGCCUUUUCUGAGAACGGGCUGAUUUCUAUAUCCUGGACACCCUGAUUCUGCUUUUCCUUUGGCAGAUCAAGAGUGAUGUCAGGAGAGAGGGAAGAACAUAGUGGCACUCUGUUUCUCAAAACAUCUUGAACAAUUUUUCAAACAUUGUGAGUUUGUUAAAAUCCAGAGUGCAUAGUGCCAAGCAGUUUUGCUUAAUUUCUAAACCCCUGGGUAUUUAAAGGGAAAUUUAAUCGGUAUUUUUCUGAAUCGUUUCAUUUAACUCAUCAGUGUGCUGUUUCAUAAGAGCCAUUUGAUGCCAAAGAAGUCUUUCUGUGCCAAUUUAGAAAUUUUACUCUGGAAGGCUCCGAAGGACUGAGAGCAGCAAAAGGAGCAGGGGUCCAGGAGUUCUAGAAUCUUGAAAGUCAAGAUCUGGAAAGGGCUACGGAGAGGUCAUACGUUCACUAAUCAACAAGCAGACGUGGAAUGUCAAGCCCAGGGCACCUGCAUCUGCCCCAGGCACUGCUCUCUUUGUGUUCUGGUGACUUAAAAUUCUGUGCUGAAUAAACGUGAAUUUCAGUUUACAGACUAGUCUGUUUGUACAAAUGUGGCAUUUUCAUGAUUGUAAUUCAUAGCAAGACUGCUUCUAAAAUAUUCUGUAGUAAUCAGCAUGCCCAUGCACCUUUGCCAUGAGAAAGCUUUUCCUCCCUCAGGGUCAGGGCCAUGGCCCUCAGGGGUCAGCAGUGUUCCUGAGUUAAGAGUUUUCAGAAAUUCUUCCUCCUUUACCACUCACUGUCCUCCCACCAACUCAGUGGGAGCACUCAGAACCAGUUUCUGCUUCUCUGCAUUCAAUAUUGCAACACACACACACACACACACACACACACAGAUUUAAAUGCCAUUUGUCCAAGGAUGUUUAGAACUGGAUUUGGGGAAUAGGCCAAUGCCCAUUAACAGGGGACACAUCCAACUGAUAGUGUUGUGGCAACAUAAAUGCAGAGACUGCUGUUGCAAGCAUUUGUUUAGUGCCUAUUCUGUCCCAGCCAUGGUGCCCAGUGUUUUACAUUUCUUUAGUCAUUUCAUCUUCUUAGCUAUCCUAUGCGAUUGACAGUAUUAAGCUGCUUUUAUAGUGGAUGAUAUUGGCAUUUAGUGAGGUUAACACCUCCAAAGUUGUCCAGCUAGUAAGUGGCAGAGCUGGAUUUGAGCAGAGAUCAGAGAACAGGGAGUCUUCAAAAUGCACGCUAUUUCAAUUUGCCAUUCUGCUUGCUGCAAACAGUAUUUGGUUAUUGGUCAUUAAGUUAGUAAAAGUGGCUCAGCCACAUGGACAAUGCUCAGACCUGAUUAAAGGGAGCUUAAUUAGUCAGUCUUCAGGUAAAAUUUUAAGUUCCUAUAUGCCUUCCCUAACCUGUGGAUGGUUAUGCUCAAGAAUUUUAUUAUAAUUCAAUUAGAAGUCAGUAGCAAUGCGUUUUCCCAUAGAAAUAACAUGGAAAUGUUAGGGUUCUGUGAUAAUCGAUAAAAGUCUGCACAGAUCUGUGACUAUGCAAUUGUUCAGAUUUUAAGGGCAGGGUCAAUAGUAGGUCACUUCACGGGGCAUUGCCAUGGGAGGAACUGGGGACAUGAACAGUGUAUGAGAGUGGCUUCUAUGGAUUACAUGGCUCUAUCAUGGGCAUGAGAGCACCUCAGCUAGAACUGAAGCCAAGUCAUUGUGUCCCAGACUUCGCUUCAAUUUGCAGUUAAAAACUUCAGGGUUAGCAUCUGUUGUUCAUCAUGAAUUUGGGGAGACCGAAGAUUUGUUCUCUUCCUGUAAACCUUGGAAUCUGAAAAGCAUCACCUCUCUGAACAGCCUAGUUAAUAAGUAGAUUUUCACUUAUUCAUUUCACAUGGAAUGAAUACUUCCAUUCUUCAGCUGCAGUUCUGUAAGCACCAAAAAGGCAGAGGCUUCACAUGUUUUACUCACUUUUGCAGUCUUGAGAGCCAGCGUGUAUUCUGGAAUAUCAUAGAUCUUUGAUACAUAUUCAUCAAAUGAAUAAAUCUUCGAUGAAUCUCCUAUUCAGCUGCCACUAGCUUGUGAUUAUCAGGAUAUUCCAUCAGCCAAGUUAUAGAAAAAGGAAAGUUGCCAUAUUUGGGGUAUGUUAGGGAUAUGGAUGACUGGAAUAUCUUCUUUUUCACCUACUAGAUACCUAGUAAUCCAUCAAGAACUAAGCUCAGGCAUCUCCUUCUCCAGGAAACCUUUUACUGUGCCACCAACCUCCAACAGAAGCUGGGAUAGAUGCUCUGAUAUUAUCAUAUGAUUGUUAACCUAUGAUUAUUUAUCACUUCCUUAUUUUAUUCUGUUAUUUUUUGCCUGUCCCCUAGACUUGGAAACCAUCGAUAUUUAUUCCUCUUUGUAAACCCAACAUCUAAUCCAGUGACUUAAUCUUUGUACUUAUGUGCUUAGGUAGUGCAAGCAGCAUGAUAUCUACUUUACUCCUGGCAUCUAAUGAUAACCUGUGUCUUCAUCCCUGGAAACUGAAUAUGUUAGGUUAUAUAACAAAGUGUUAUUAAGGUUGCUAAUCAGCUGAACCUAAAGUAGGAAAAUUACCUGCAUUAUCUGGGAAGGUCCAGUGUAAUCACGUUGCUAAUCAGCUGAACCUAAAGUAGGAAAAUUACCUGCAUUAUCUGGGAAGGUCCAGUGUAAUCACAAGAGCCUUAAAAGUGGAAGAGGGAGCAGAAGAGGAGGUUGGAGUCAUGCAUGUGAGAAGAAAUUGACCCGCCAUUGCUGACUCCAAAAGAGGAAAGGGGCCAUGAGCUGAGGGAUUCAGGCAGCCUUUAUAAGCUAGAAAAGGCAAGGAAAUGAACUUUCCCCCAGUGAGACUUAUGUCAGACUUCUGACCUAUAGCACUGUAACAACUUUGUGUUAUAUUAAGGCACUGAUUUGUGGUAAUUUGUUCUAUAGUAAAUACACCUAGUAUAUCCAGAUUUACAAUUUUGGAUAUGAAUAAUGGGCUUGUACAAUGAUAUCCCAGAGAGAAAUCCUCAAGUUCCAACAUGCCUGGAUGAGCUUAAAGUCCAGUCUCUCCAGCCCCUCUCACUUCGUUGUCCAGGAAUUAACAAGUGGUUAUCAGUGUCUGAAUGGUGAGUCCUGCAUGUGUCUCUUUGAUUUUGCUGAGGUCAGAAUUUAAGGGUAUGCAUUUUGGGACUGGAUGAUGACACAGUUGCCAUCAUAAAGAGUAUUAAUACCAUCAGUUGCCAUAAUGACAUUGCAAAAGGUUGCACUUGUUCUUUUCUGAGUGACUUCAGUAAAGAAAUGUUCUGUGAAACCAAGAGUCAAGGGCAGAAUCGCUGUGUCUGCAGGGGUGUGGCCUAGCUGACAUUUUGCUUCUGCUACUGCCACACAUAUGAGAGUGGACAGCUGCUAAGGCAUGAUUACCCAGCUGUGAUUCUUUUAGAGGAAUUGGUCUCUCCUUUCCUAGAUCACACUUAACCAAAGUCAGAGACUCUUAAGUAAAUAUGGCCUCCCUCCAUAUAAUAGGGCUGUCAGGUCCCUGUCUUGAGGCAGCAUUAUCAUCGAGGAUCCCAUAAGAAGCCCUAUAUCUAAGGCUUCUGGGUAUUGGUAAAGCUUCUGCAGAUCCUAGACCCCCAUAGCGGUUGUGCAAAGGGGGUCAUUCCACAACCCUAGAGUGGGGCAAGAUCAUUGAAUCCUACUCUGAUAUUGCUCCUGAGGUUCCGUUCACACAGCGAUUUCUCCCAGAUACCAGCUGGCACACAAAAGGCUGAAACAGAACAGGUUCCAGGACCAGGACCUAACAUUCCAGGGCAACAUUCCACUUUCCUCCCCCAAAGUCAGUGCAUAUGUCAGUUAUACAUCCUCAGAAUAACUUUAUUUUCCAAGAAGCUUUUUUAUUGAUCUACCCCAAAGUCUCCCUGACUUUGAAACUGAAAUAAAGAAGCUAUGGUCUGCAUUCCCUCUUGUCUGCAAGACCCUGAGCUUCUGUCUGCAAAGUCCUCCCCAGACUCUGCCUUCUAAUGCACACUGGAGGCAGCAGCCUCUCCCCUGACAACACACAUACACAUGUACUUAUUAUCAACACCUAACACAAAAACUCUUAUACAACCUUAUAUUUAUAUUUACAAAAGUACUGAGCUAUUUCAUAAUAAACAGUUUUCAGUAUGUGGAAAUAAGUGGAAUUUUUAAAUGGCAGAUUCUUCUUUGUGAAAAAGUCUUUCUUAUCAAAUAGACCUCAAUAUAUGUGUUGCUUGACUGACUGACCGACUGACUGAUGAAUGUGUGGACAAAAAGAAGGAACCCCUAGGGAUUUUAGGGUACUGGAAGAAAGCAGAGCUCAUAUCAUGAGGACUCACUGGAGGAAGAUGGUUUGGGUUGCAAAGGGGUAGUUUGAGGAGUUUGUUUCCAUCUAUACUGAUAUGUAGAAUGUAAGCAAUUCAAGAAAAUGAGAUACAUUUGUUACCCAGGAAAAGGGACAGUACACUGGGAUGUAGGGACCAGGGAUGGUGCCCUAACUGAUUCCAGAGGAGGGCUGGAAGCACAUUCUCCUAGAAGGGUUAAUAACUUGCCAAAUGGUUCACCUUCUUUGGCACUCGCCCUUCCCCCAAGUUAGAAGGUAUAAAUCAUUGACUAUCAGGAUAAUGAGAAGCAGAUUUGCCUCUGCUAAUUUCUGGGAUGUGGAAGGUCUUUAGAAAAAGCCUCAUAAGACAUUGCUGAGUGUUAUGAGCCCUACCGCCUUGAUCGAGGGCACAUGUGGGAUGCAGACCAGGGAGUCUGUGAUCCAGCGUGGUGGAUGCUGCAGGGGAGGGUGGAGCUGCACAGAUAAUACCUGUAAACCAUCACGUGCCCCUCCUUUACUUUGAACAUCAGAGCCUGGGACAAAGAAAAUUCAGCCCACCCUCCUGUGCACUCUCAGUGCUCCUUCCCUUAGAUUGAAGAUGAGGUCUCUUUCAAAUAUCUGUCUCCCUAUGUUCUGAAUAGAGGCUGGUCAGAACCCAAAGACUUUCCUGAAUAAGUAGCUAAGUAGAAAUUGCUGGGGAUGCUUAGAAUCCAAAAGUGAAUGCAACAAUCUGCUUCAUGAGAAAUUAAGUUAGUAUAAACAAGAAGGUAAGAGGCAAGCAGAAAGAAAGCUCAUCCUGAAAGAUCCCUGCCUAUUGGUCCUGAGGCAGGAAGACAUGACUAGGUGAGACAGGGAGCAGCAGCAGAAGCAAGAUGUCUAGAACAUCUUCCUCUUACUGGACUUCAAAAGUCUUUGUCCAGAGGUGGUAUCUGCCUGUUUCCCUGGCAGAAACCCUCUGCAGAGGCUAGCCUCCCUCAGGAGAACCCAAGUGGUUUGUCCUGUGAUGCAGAGUUGGGCAUGGCCAAUGUUGGGGGAGCCCCGCCUGUUGGAUAAUACAUGGGACCCCCAUACCUGUAAUGGUCACCUUGUGACUCCAGGUG
rnacentral:lncRNA from 1 species